UACAGAGGGGGCAAGCGUUUAUUCGGAAUUAUUGGGCGUAAAGGGCGCGUAGGCGGCUUGGCAAGUGGAUGGUGAAAUCCCUCGGCUUAACCGAGGAACUGCCGUCCAAAACUGCUUCGCUUGAGACCGGGAGAGGUGAGUGGAAUUCCCAGUGUAGCGGUGAAAUGCGUAGAUAUUUGGGGAGGAACACCAGUGGCGAAGGCGGCUCACUGGACCGGUACUGACGCUGAUGCGCGAAAGCGUGGGGAGCAAACGGGG
rnacentral:rRNA from 1 species